rnacentral:rRNA from 1 species
GACGAACGCUGGCGGCGUGCCUAAUACAUGCAAGUCGAACGCAUUUUCUUUCACCGUAGCUUGCUACACCGAAAGAAAUGAGUGGCGAACGGGUGAGUAACACGUGGGUAACCUGCCCAUCAGCGGGGGAUAACACUUGGAAACAGGUGCUAAUACCGCAUAAUUCCAUUUACCGCAUGGUAGAUGGGUGAAAGGCGCUUUUGCGUCACUGAUGGAUGGACCCGCGGUGCAUUAGCUAGUUGGUGGGGUAACGGCCUACCAAGGCUGCGAUGCAUAGCCGACCUGAGAGGGUGAUCGGCCACACUGGGACUGAGACACGGCCCAGACUCCUACGGGAGGCAGCAGUAGGGAAUCUUCGGCAAUGGACGCAAGUCUGACCGAGCAACGCCGCGUGAGUGAAGAAGGUUUUCGGAUCGUAAAACUCUGUUGUUAGAGAAGAACAAGGAUGAGAGUGGAAAGUUCAUCCCUUGACGGUAUCUAACCAGAAAGCCACGGCUAACUACGUG